CAGAAACAAUAUCAUCAAGGUCCUGGAGGUAAUAACAGACCAUUUUAAGUUGUGUGUCAAAGGAAUCCUUGUUAAUCUAGACCAAUGUUAAAAUCAUAUUCUGCCAUGCACAUAUUAGAUACCUCCAACAUAUAUUUAUCAGAUGGAUGCAUGCCCUCUAUCUCUUUAAGCCUAGAAUUUUCACCCAAUCAUAUCCAAAUUUCACCCAAUCAAAUCAAAUCCAAAAAUCACUCCUGAUAAUAUAGGAAGUUCAUGACUCUAAAAUUGAUACCUCUCCUUGGGUUCCUAAGUACAAGAUUGUUUUAAAUCUCACACUAUAUAUUUUAUAUAUAUACAUUAAAAUCCACCUAGCAUAAAUCAGAUAUGAUUUCCCUCUGCAAACCUGCUUGCCACUUAUUCCUGAACUCACUUCCCAAUAUCUUCUCUGUAACCUGAAUUAGAAAUGUUGGAGUCAUCUUUCCUUUAUCCUACGGCAUCAAAUCUUUUCCCCUAAAUGUCCAACUAACUCUAUUUCUGAAAUAUCUUUUUCAUUCACAUCUUUAUACAACUUCUGCCCAAAAGGUGGUGCCUGCUAUAUGCAAUAUAAAUAUAUACAUUUAUAUACAUAGAUGUAUACAUUUAAUUCUCAUAAUAUCCCCCAUGCAAGUAGUCAAUAGCAUUAUUUUCAUUUUUCAGAUCAAGACACUGAAACAAAGUUUAACUCCCUGAACUCACAUACUUAGUAAACCCUGGAGAAAAGAUUGGAACCAGUCAGGUCCUAGAAGCCAGGCUCUUAGAGACUGUCUGCAUGGUGCUGUGGUCCUGCUGCCUGCCCAUCCCACUACUACUAAUAAGAUUCAGGUCCUGCAACCUCCCAACUGGUCUUUCUGAUCUAGCAAACUCUCCUCUUAUGAACCUCUCAAACACAGCAAGAAGACAGAGGUACCUCAUUCUGGGAGGUGAGGAAAGACAGGGACACACAAAACUCGGAAGAACGAUUUAAGGUAGGACAUUGAAGAAGUAUGGAACACCAGUGUUAGGAGAGCUACUUCUAUUUUGUUUUACCCUGUUUCUAAUGGGUCUUAAGGUUUCCCCAAUACAUCAGUGACUUUGAAAGGGAAGCAAAGGACAAGGGUAAGUGUUGCUUGUUUAAAUCUCAUGUAUGAGUAUUUAUCAGAGAUGAAGAGAUCAUUUUCUCCUGUGGAGGUGCCUGACUUGCAGAAAAGACCUCAGUCAACCCCUGUCUAUAGAUUAGCAAGUGUUUCCUGCUACACUAUAGGAAAAGGUCUUUGGUUUUGGUUCAUAGAGAUGGAAGGAAGACAGAAUUUGCUUAAGUCACCUAGGUUUUAGAAAUAGAAAAACCCAAGCAUAAAGGAUUAAUGAGCUAAUACAGUAUAUGUGACAAUAUCUAGCACAAUGCCUGACAUAUAAAAAGUGUUCAUAGAUUCAAGUUUGCCUGGUCUAUACCAAAUAUAAAAGCAAAGUACUUUUUUCUUCUUUUUUUGAGAUCUUAUAGCACAGAUUCAAGAACAUUGGCCUUAGAAUCAUAUUGUCAGGUAAAGAAUAUCUGCUCACUACUUGGCUGUAAAAUCUCAGGUAACUUAUUCAAUCUCUUUGUACUUGGUUUCCUCAAUCUAAAAUGAAAAUCUGGUUCUGUAAUACUUUGGAUUAUGGUUAGCAGCAUAUAGUUAUAGAAUACUUAUUAUGUUAAAGAAUCACAGAAGGAAACCAUCCAUGGAACAUAUAGUGCCUUGUAAUAUCUUCAGAAACCCAGGCCAUUUCUAUUUGGCAUCCUUAACAAGUGGCUUCUAUCCUUAGAGUCACUCUAGAGUUCAAGAUAGUUGUCAGAACUCUAGUCAUUUUGUAUAUAUUAUGCAUCAAGAACCUGAAAUCAAAUUGGGGCUCUCUUUAUAAGGACAAAGGAAAGAAUUACUAACAUGUAAGAAUUUAGUAGUAUCUGCCACAUAAUAAUAACUCUUGCAGGGUCAGUGACAUAUUAAAUAGGGUGAGGUAUACCUGUAAAAUGUCAAGGACAAUGCC
rnacentral:lncRNA from 12 species